rnacentral:rRNA from 1 species
AGCAGUCGCCGCGGUAAAACGGAGGAUCCAAGCGUUAUCCGGAAUCAUUGGGUUUAAAGGGUACGUAGGCGGUCUUGUAAGUCAGUGGUGAAAGCCCAUCGCUCAACGGUGGAACGGCCAUUGAUACUGCAGGACUUGAAUUAUUGGGAAGUAACUAGAAUAUGUAGUGUAGCGGUGAAAUGCUUAGAGAUUACAUGGAAUACCAAUUGCGAAGGCAGGUUACUACCAAUUGAUUGACGCUGAUGGACGAAAGCGUGGGUAGCGAACAGGAUUAGAUACCCCUGUAGUCCCUGUCUCUUAUAC